rnacentral:misc_RNA from 1 species
UUUCCGUAGGUGAACCUGCGGAAGGAUCAUUAUCAUGUAAUUCAGUCCCCUUGGCUGUGUUAUAUAUAUACCCACUCUGUGUACCUUCUCCUGUUGCUUCCGCUGGGUGUGUAAUUCGCCCGGCGGAAGGGUAAAAAUAACCUCUGAGUAUUGAUGAAAUCUCUGUCUGAACCGAAUAGAAAGAAAAAUGUUAAAACUUUCAGCAACGGAUCUCUUGGUUCUCGCAUCGAUGAAGACGCAGC